GAUGAACGCUGGCGGCGUGCCUAAUACAUGCAAGUCGAGCGAAUGGAUUAAGAGCUUGCUCUUAUGAAGUUAGCGGCGGACGGGUGAGUAGCACGUGGGUAACCUGCCCAUAAGACUGGGAUAACUCCGGGAAACCGGGGCUAAUACCGGAUAACAUUUUGAACCGCAUGGUUCGAAAUUGAAAGGCGGCUUCGGCUGUCACUUAUGGAUGGACCCGCGUCGCAUUAGCUAGUUGGUGAGGUAACGGCUCACCAAGGCAACGAUGCGUAGCCGACCUGAGAGGGUGAUCGGGCACACUGGGGCUGGGACACGGCCCAGACUCCGACGGGAGGCAGCAGUAGGGAAUAUUCCGCAAUGGACGAAAGUCUGACGGAGCAACGCCGCGUGAGUGAUGAAGGCUUUCGGGUCGUAAAACUCUGUUGUUAGGGAAGAACAAGUGCUAGUUGAAUAAGCUGGCACCUUGACGGUACCUAACCAGAAAGCCACGGCUAACUACGUGCCAGCCGCCGCGGUAA
rnacentral:rRNA from 1 species